AUAGAGGAAGUAAAAGUCGUAACAAGGUCUCCGUAGGUGAACCUGCGGAGGGAUCAUUACACAAAUAUGAAGGCGGGCUGGCACCUCUCGGGGUGGCUAGCCUUGCUGAAUUAUUCCACCCGUGUCUUUUGCGUACUUCUUGUUUCCUUGGUGGGCUCGCCCACCACAAGGACCAACCCAUAAACCUUUUUGUAAUGGCAAUCAGCGUCAGUAACAAUGUAAUAAUUACAACUUUCAACAACGGAUCUCUUGGUUCUGGCAUCGAUGAAGAACGCAGCGAAAUGCGAUAAGUAGUGUGAAUUGCAGAAUUCAGUGAAUCAUCGAAUCUUUGAACGCACAUUGCGCCCUUUGGUAUUCCAAAGGGCAUGCCUGUUCGAGCGUCAUUUGUACCCUCAAGCUUUUGCUUGGUGUUGGGCGUCUUUUUGUCUCCCCCCUCUGCGGGGAGACUCGCCUUAAAGUCAUUGGCAGCCGGCCUACUGGUUUCGGAGCGCAGCACAAGUCGCGCUCUCUUCCAGCCCCAGGUCUAGCAUCCAACAAGCCUUUUUUUCAACUUUUGACCUCGGAUCAGGUAGGGAUACCCGCUGAACUUAGCAUAUCAUAGG
rnacentral:rRNA from 1 species